rnacentral:lncRNA from 1 species
CCCCACAAGUAUAUGAUAAUACUCCACUGCCACCAACAAGUAAUCAUUUAUAUAAGGAUUAUAUAACCAACAACCCAAAAGGGACUAGCACAGCUCUACGGCCUUCAACAAACCUGCUUUUCUUAUUUAUGGUAGUUAUAGCAUUACAUUGGCUUCAAUCGUGAGAAUCGUCAGUUGAUGUACAGUUUUUAGAUCUUAUUAUUUAUUUCAUAUGUAAUUUGAUAAUUUAAAAGUCUUAUGUUUUUAAAGUUCUGUUGUCUCUCCAAUAUGUCUCCUAUAUGUGUGUGAUAAAAAAUGUAAAUGUUUCAAGUUGUAUUUUAUUUGAAGUGGUUUUCACAUUAGCUGAAAUGAUUUUCUCGCAUUCUAAUGGUCAGUGUAUACAUGCAGAUAUAGAGGUGGAUUUGUUUUAUUGCAUCACCGCCCAGAGAGAUACUGUAUACAUUAUGUGUAUGUAGCUUGACAACCAAAUGUAUGUUGUUCUUGGUGUAGGGUUGAAGCCACCAGAAAUUGUACUAUUACAUUGUGACAGUGGGGUAAUAUCAUCAUGUUACAGUUUUUACAUUUUUUGAUUGACAUCCAUUUCAUGAAGAUUAUGUGUGGUCCAGUAGUAAUAUAUAUGUGCUGUCUGAAAAUAUUAAUUCAUUGGACGACACAUUACUUGUCAAGAAUCUGCAGGAACAUCAAGACAAACCUCAAUGUGUGCCCCAUUAUUAAAGUGGAACAAUACAUGGUUUGGUAAAUUCUUGUCCUAGUUGUUCAGUCUUGUUAAACAUACAGAUGUCGAUUAAAUUUAUUUCACUGUAACUAGCAGUGGGUGUUACAAUUUUUGAGAGAGCAGCUUAGUUUAGUCGGCUAGUCUGGUGGUAGCCACUGUGUGUGCGCUGAACUGUGAAGAUCUCUAGGCCCCCGGUUCAAUUUCCAUCGCUGCCUCUCUUUGUGUUUCAGCUAGAGGUCUUUCGGAUGAGACGUUUAAGCCGUUGGUCCUGUGUGCAUUAUGACCCAUGUGUACAUUAAACAACGCAGUACACUCUUUGGAAAAGAGUAGGGGAUUGUCUCCCGGUGUAAUGCCCAAUCACCACCAGAAAGACCCCACUGGAAAUAAGUCUUCCUCUAGAAUUUUGUGGGCUAUCCUUAGUGUUUACACCGAAUAAAUCCAAAAUGUGUAAAUACAAAAUGAAGUGUAAAUGCAAGUUAAUUAUAUCAGCUAAUGUGUUAGCCACCUUAAAACAUAUUUUAUGGUGUUCUUAAGUUUUAUUUUUCUUUGAAUAUGACUUGGUAUGUAAUUUUUCUGUGGUGACUAAAAUUGCAUUUCAGUCAUGCAUAACUUUGAUGUUCCAUUGAAAAAAAAAUCAGCUCUAUUGCAAGGCCCUUGUAUAGUUUCUAUUUUGCUUACAUUUCAUAAUUACACAAUGUAAGUGGUAUAUCUGAAUAUGGACUAUGUUUUUUGUUUAAGCACUUUACGCUUAUGUAAUAUAAAUAGCAUGUAUUUACUUGUCUGUACAUGUUACUUCAGUACUCAGACAUCCUAAAUUCACCAGAAUUUAAAAAUUCUUAUAUUAACACUACCCUGUAUAUAUUUGAAAGAGAAAUUUCUGUAAUUUAAUCAUUGGUGUCAAUUUUCUUUGAACAAAUUUGAUAUUGUCUAUUUUUGAUGAGAGAAAUGAGAAUAAUAUUGACCAUUUUUCGAAGCAAUGUUAUCAAAUUAUCUUUAAAAGACAUUUCCCAAGUUAAAACCAUUUAUAAAAAUAAAUAACAAUAAAUUUGAUUGUCAUAUUUUACAUAUUUUCAUUGAAGAAAUGAAUUGAGAAAAGUCAGUGUUUUAAUUUCUGGUGCCAGAGUAGGAACAAAUUCUGUCUGUUUUUGUCAAGGAAAAUAAGAAUAAUAUUGAUAAUAUUCCAAGGCAAUAUUUCCAUCGAUCUUUAAAAGACAUUUAUUUAUGACUUUGCAUAUAAUCAAUAUCUAAAUAAUGAUUGACAUAUUUUACCCAUUUUCAUUGAAGAAAAGGAUUAUAUUUUAUCAUGAAUUAAAUAACGAUCAUAUAAAUUAAUAAUUUCAUCUGUUCUAUAGAAAUGUUAAUUACCUUGAACUUGGAAAUACUAUUGUGUAAUACCUCCCAAGGUUUGGUUAUUCAAUUUCAAUUUUCAAUUUAUU